CGACAGGAAAGACAGCGGGGAGAAGCCUCACCCGGUUCUGGCUGCAGCUCCGCCGAACGAACCUACCCUCCCGCGGCCCACUCCCCUUGCGCCGCACAAACAACUACGCUCAGCUCCGUCCAGUACCGUCUUCAGCGCUGGUGAGGAGGAGGCAGAGGAGGCGGUAGAGGAGGCGGUGGCGCCGCGGAGUCCGGGAAAGGCCCGCCCUCCGCACGCUCAUUGGCUGCUGGCGAGGGCGGCCCGGAAUGCCUCGGGCAGAUUCCAUUGGCCCAGUCGGCCUUCUUUCAGGACCCU
rnacentral:lncRNA from 1 species